AACGAACGCUGGCGGCAUGCCUAACACAUGCAAGUCGAACGAGACCUUCGGGUCUAGUGGCGCACGGGUGCGUAACGCGUGGGAACCUGCCCUUAGGUUCGGAAUAACUCCCCGAAAGGGGUGCUAAUACCGGAUAAUGUCUUCGGACCAAAGAUUUAUCGCCUUUGGAUGGGCCCGCGUUGGAUUAGCUAGUUGGUAGGGUAAAAGCCUACCAAGGCGACGAUCCAUAGCUGGUCUGAGAGGAUGAUCAGCCACACUGGGACUGAGACACGGCCCAGACUCCUACGGGAGGCAGCAGUGGGGAAUAUUGGACAAUGGGCGAAAGCCUGAUCCAGCAAUGCCGCGUGAGUGAUGAAGGCAUUAGGGUUGUAAAGCUCUUUUACCCGGGAUGAUAAUGACAGUACCGGAAGAAUAAGCUCCGGCUAACUCCGUG
rnacentral:rRNA from 1 species